CCAACGGUUAGCUAAGUUGGUAGGUCAUUCGCCUCGCACUUGUAGAGUCCCUGGUUCGAACCCAGGCCCCGUAGGG